UUUAAUAUAGGUUAUGAAAACUAUUGAAUUUAUUAUUCAAAGAAACUUUUUGUUGUUAAUG
rnacentral:tRNA from 1 species